ensembl:lincRNA
UUCUUUGCACUGCAUUCCCGGUCUGAAGACCUAUCGCUGAGAAUGCAGCCUCAAAUCCGUCUGUGGGGAAAUCAAUAACAAAUCAAGCAGCCAUUCACUCAGAUUUAUUGGCAUAACCAGGUGAGGCAGCCAAAGAUCUCCAAGAUCGGGUUGUUGAUUACAAGUCAGACGGCGGGAAGCAAGCCACUGCUGGAUUCCGUGCUGGUGUGAUGGAUUCUCCCACGGCCACGGAUCGGACAGGGGUGCACGCGUGUGUGCAAAAUCAUCUGAAACUGACCGACGCCCGUCAGCCUUCCCCCCUGCGGCUCUGCGGACCCCCUGCCGCCUGCCGUGAGUCGGAACCCACGGGAGCCCGACGCCGGGCCGCGUUCGAACUCUGCCCACACAAUGCACGUUUCAGAGAGCAAUCCAAGGAACCUGAAUUGUCCUGGAUUCCGAGAAAAAUAGGUUAUAACUUCCAACAGCUGCUUCUUAACAAGUAGGACCACUUAAGCUAGAAGCAUAGAGCUCAUGUUCUGAAGAUGAAGCCUGGUGUUUGCCUAAACAAUUGGUCUGCAUAGCAAAUGUGAGGAGGCUGGCCAGUCCGCACCUCUUGGGAGGAGGCCGGGUUGAGAACCGAGUGAAUGGCAGAGGGGCCGUGUGACAUGUCUCAGAGUGAACCCUGGGGGUGGACAGUUCCGAAGGUGAUGCUGUAAGAACCCUCUUGGCCAUGUGACUUUGCAGCCCUGCCCACGUCCGGGGGAAUCUACGUCCUUAGCCCGGGUCGGCGGACUGGACAGGCGGCUGGCUGGGGCCAAUCCCAGUCCUCCUCUGAAGUCCCUAAGCCUCAGGAGUCUCUGUUGGCUCUCCUGGAGCCCUGCGCUGGCCGUGAGAGCAAGCCUGGCUGGCCUGCUGGAGGAGGAGAGCCGAGCCGUGUGGCCAAUACCAGCCAACCCCUGGGUACAGAGCUGCGAAGGUCCCCAUAGUGGCCUUCAGAGAAAGGACAGCCCGGCUGACACCAUACAAGCCACCCAGCUCAGCCAGCCCAACCACGGAGCCUCAGAAUCCAGAACUAGGUAAAUAGCGUUAACGCUCUGAGGCAACGGGCUUUUGUUUCUGUAAGAAAAAAAAAUCAUUUCACCCAACCCCCACGCUCCCCCUCUGGCCACCACCAGUUUGUUCUCUGUAUUUAAGAGUCUGGGUGUGUUUGUUUGUCUCUUUUUUCCUUUGUUCACUGGUUUGGUUUCCGAUAUUCCGCACAUGUUGAAGUCGGAUUUGUCUUUGACUUAUCUCAAUGAGCACCGCGCCCUCCAGAUCGACCCGUGUUGUGAAUGACGAUGCGUCUUCCUUUUCCGGUGGCUUGCGAUGUUCCAGCACGAGUCUACAGACCACGCCUUCAGCGCCCGUUCUGCUGUCGGUGGACACUUAGGCUCUUCCCAUAAUUUGGCUACUGUAAAUAACGUUGCUAUGAACUUUGGGGUGCGUGUAUAUUUUUGAAUUCGUGUUUUCAUUUUCUUUGGGUAAAUAUCCAGUAGUGGAAUUACUAGAUCUUAGGGUUUUUAGUUUUAACUUUUUGAGGAACCUCCAUCCCGUUUUCCAGAGGCUGCACCCUCUUGCAUUGCCAUCAACCGUGCACGAGGCUCCCCUUCCUCCGCCUCCUCGCCAACACGUGCUGUUUUCCUUGUUGUUAGUGUUGGCCAUCCCGACUGGUGCGAGGUGGUAUCUGUGGGUUUGAUUUGCGUUUCCCUGAUGAUGAGUGACUGGAACAUCUUUUCACGUGUUGGUAGACCAUCUGAAUCUUUUCUUUGGGAAAAUAUCUGUUUGUGUCUUCUGCCCAUUUUUCAAAUGUCUGAUGUAGUUGUUUUAAGCUAGUGAGUGUCAGAAUGGUUAGUUAUACAGGAGGAGAUAACUAGGACAUGUCGACCCCAGAGAAGCCCCCCAACCUCUCUGCCUCAUCUCUCUCUUUCUUUCAUUGUCUCCGUCUCCACAGGUCCCAGCCUCAUCUGCUUCUCUCUCCAUCCCUAACUCCAACUCUCUACGCAGUGUCCUAAAUCCAAGGAGCUCCUGGUCUCCUGCGGCACCUUCGGGGAGAGAAUGUGUGAUAUCUGGACGCCUAGAGCACAUUUGCAAACCUUACAGUCCUAGAGUCCAUUUCCACUCUUAAAAUUAGUGAAAACUCCAAAGAGCUUCUUCUCGUGUCUAUCAGUAUUUACCGUAUUAGAGGUUAAAGCUGAGGAACAUUUAAAAUUUGAAAAAAUGCAAGCACUCAUGUCCUUAACCAUCAGAAUGACCAUGACCUCUGAGCUGACGAGACCCCAGAAAACUCCAUUGUCCACUCAUAAAAGCGAGAGCUGGGCAGAUGACCUUUGGUGCUGUUAUGAAAGUAAGUUUGUCCUUCCCCAUCCUGAGCACCUGUGACCUGGACCAUCAUCACGGAUGUCCCCAGGAGCCCACGCUGCUCUCCAACUCAGUCUGUGCGGGUUUGCUUACGAGCAUAAUCAUCAGAAUACUAGAAGGUUCGCUCAUUGGAAGGCUUAGGGCUCUACCGCACAAUGAUAAGUACAUAUGGUUACAAAGCAUUCAUCUAGAGUAAACACUCUAAAAUUAUUAUGAUCACUGCAUCUCCAUGGUAAUAUUUAUUUAUAAUGAAUUAUAGGCUUACCAGGGAAUUUAUUGAGCUACACGGAGAACUAAUUAUGGG